rnacentral:rRNA from 1 species
GAGUUUGAUCUUGGCUCAGGACGAACGCUGGCGGCGUGCCUAAUACAUGCAAGUCGAGCGAGGGUUUUUAAGACCCUAGCGGCGGACGGGUGAGUAACACGUAGGCAACCUGCCCUCUCAGACCGGGAUAACAUAGGGAAACUUAUGCUAAUACCGGAUAGGUUUUUGGAUCGCAUGAUCCGAAAAGAAAGAUGGCUUUUCGCUAUCACUGGGAGAUGGGCCUGCGGCGCAUUAGCUAGUUGGUGGGGUAACGGCCUACCAAGGCGACGAUGCGUAGCCGACCUGAGAGGGUGACCGGCCACACUGGGACUGAGACACGGCCCAGACUCCUACGGGAGGCAGCAGUAGGGAAUUUUCCACAAUGGACGAAAGUCGUGAUGGAGCAAC